UUUGUUAAUUCUUCAGGACUCUACUGAGAUGGAUUAUUACUCAAAGUGCUCUAAUUCCCAACUGGUGUUUUUCUGUGGUCACUACUGCAUCCCUGGCCUCUCCGGACUUAGCGCUGUUGGGCAAAUUGCCUGGCCUCCGGAAUGCAGCUUGUGUGUCCGUGCCAGUUCUUAGUGCCCUGGAGUCCUCCAGUCCUGAUAAAAGUCUUCAGCCACAGAUUAAGCCAGAAGCUACUGUAUGACCACAAGGAUCAGAGGAGCCCUGCCUCUCUUUACUGGGAUGGCCUUUGGGGGAAGUUUAGCUGGGUCACGCCUGUCCCGGCCCGCGGUACUGGAGAAACCAAAAACCCACCAACAACCAGCCUGGAAGGAGAACCUGCCUGAGUUCAGAUAAGGCUCUACCACUUCCGAGUUGGCCGACUUCAAAGACCCCUGGCCUGCGUCCCUCGUCAUAUAUACACUCUUCAUGUGAGAAGACUAGCAGGAAGAGGGAGACCUGGGGACCAUCCCGACACUGGUGAAGAUUUUGCAAUCUCCAGUCAAAUCCAUAGACAUCCUCAGUUCCUGCAAACAUGAUACUCCAUCUGCUUGUCCCAUUUAAAUGUAGUCUUUAUAGAACCUGAGUAAUUGUUAAAAUGUAUUUUCAUAAAAUAAUUUUGUCAUCUGAUGCCAAGCAUGUUGUCUUAAGUGCAUUGCUGCUUUGGAAUUUAAUGUUUUAUCUAUUUUUGUGGUCUCUCCUUAAUUGUUAUGUAUGCUAUUCAUACAUGUUUCAUGGCUUAGGCACCCAAGCAACGAUGAUCUUUCUGCCAUUUAUGCCAACACACUAUUUAUACUACCUGAAGAUUGCAAAUCCAAGGCAUUACUAGAUGACACUGUAUCACAGCAUUACGGUAGAGUUUACUUCCCAAAUAAAGCUUUUCUUGUGCGUCAAUAUUAAA